UUAAAAGUACAAUUCUAAGAAUCUGGAAUUGGAAGAAACUGAGUGCCUUGAAAACACAAAGAGAGGGAUUCCAUUUGGGAUAGGAGGCCCCUGGAUUCCAACCAGGGAUCUCUGGUGUUGAUGUUGGAAGUCACCCCUACAAACAAAUCUGAAACUCUUGAGGAAUAAUGGAGAAGCUGUGAUAGAACGAAGCCAGGACGCCUUCUGACAGAGUCAGAUAAAGACACUGAGACAGCAUGUUCCCAGACCUACUCCAGCCACUUUACAAAGCAUAACAGUGAAGACCAGGAAGGAACCAGAAAACGCAGAUGCUGGAAAAGGAUGAAGUUUGAAUGAGGAGGGAAUUUCUGAGUCUUAAACGUCAUGCAAUUUGCGUUGUAAAAAUAGACCAUGAGGAUCAAAGAACUAAAUGUAAGAGCUAAAGCUACAAAGCUCUCAGAAGAAAACACAGGCAUAAAUCUUUGUGCCCUUGGAUUAAGCAAUGGUUUCUUACAUAUGACACCAAAAGCACAAGCUAUAGAAGAUAUAUAAAGUGGACAUCAACCAACUGAAGACUUUUGUGCUGCCCUCGGGAAGAGGGAAAUUCCAAAGAACUGGAGGAAAUUUUUAUAAAUUGUAUGUCUGAUAAGGGACUUGUAGCUAGAAUAUAUAAAGAGCUUCUACAGCUCAACAAUAUAGCGGCCGUUUUUAGGGAACAGACUUGAGCAAUGGAAACGUGAUCAAGGCAAGAGGGCCCAUA